rnacentral:pre_miRNA from 9 species
UCUCGAUAGCGUAAAAGUUAACUCAAAUUUGUAUGGAGUUGGAACGUUUGCCUAUGUUUGCCGCUAGGGGCGCUGUUCCAACUGCAUACAAAUUUGAGUUAACU